rnacentral:pre_miRNA from 1 species
UCUUUCAGAUGAGCAAAGAAAGUGGUUUCUUAAACUGGAAACUACUCUUGGUAAAGAUGCUGUGAA